GGCGACGGUGUUAAGCAAAGAGCAAGUGAAAGGAAGGGAAGAGGAAGGCGCGGCUCAGAGGUUGGACUUGCGACAGCAACGAGGAGGCGCUUAAGCCUUGCCUUCGGAUUUAGGAAAGCCGCCUUUCCUCUCCCGGAGCUUCUUGUUUACAAUGACGAUUGGAUUUCCUCCAGAUGUCAACAGGGGCUAGGCCCGGUACACGGGAAUAAAGCAAGGGAAGGGAGUUUGGGUAAAAACUCCUAAUCCGAUUAGCGGCUAAUCUCUCAGAGUGGACGUUUCCUUUCUCUCGCCGGACAUGAGAUGAAGCGCGUUGGGUUAGGCCAGAAGGCUGAAGAUCCCCCUGAGCUUUUGAGAUGCUCCUGCAAAGCAAAACAUCUUCAGAUAUUCCUGAGAAGCAAAACAUCUUCAAAGAAAAACAAGAACGUCCAGUUGCCUCUUGAAAAAGCACUUUUGAGACAACCAUGACCUGAAUGACUGAGAAUCUCCAGAGAAAACUAGAUAAGAAUGGAUUUCCACACUAGUUUUAAUUUUGGUUUAACUUGUAAACCCAGCCAGUUUUGCUUAAUUUGAUAAGUGGUAACUGAUAAAAAAUUGGCUGUAAAUUCAUACAGAUUCAUUAAAAAGUUAAGUAACUUUGACCACAUUAUCAUCUUAAUUUAAUCAGAAACAUUGCUGUUGUUAUUUGCAGAGGGAGAAAAGAGGGAAGUCUGGAUUUGGAUCAAGAUGGUGACCAAGGGCUAAACUGCCUUUCCAGUCGGUUAUAUUAGCUUGACUCUUUAAUAAUGCAAAUGUUAAAAAUGUGAAUAGGGUCAGUUUUGGAAAUGUUUUUACCUACCAUCUGUACACAUAGUCCUUCACUUACAACUAGUAUUUUAAUGCCUGUUCAGUUAUGACAAUCUUGGAAAGGGUGCUUUAUGGGUCCUAAGCACUUCCAGAUGUUGUAAAACAUCACAUCGCCUUCCUCCCUCUUGGUCACAUGAGCAUAUUUUGAACAUUUACAACUGGUGAAGUAUCAUGCAGUCACAUGAUUACAAUUUGCAGUGGUUUGGGCCAAUUUCCUGUGGUUUUUUGCUAGUUUCCAAGGGAAUGGGUUCACAUUUAUAACCUCAUGAUUUACCACCAUCAUAAAAAGAGUUGUAAAAUCAGAUCCAGCCACAUGGAUGCCUUAACUUACAACCAUCAUAACUUACAACUGAAAUUAUGGUUCAAAUUUUCUACUUGUAUAUAUCUUUACUAAUGACACCACUAAGACUGAAUUAUUUCUAUUUCAAUGAGGUUCUUCAGUUAUAUAUAAAAGUUAAUACUGGUAGGAUUUCUCUUAAAUCAAGCUUGAUUUUUGAUUGCUAUAUAAAUAUAUAGAUAUUAUUUUCCUGGCAACUGCACGUAAACAGAUUUCUAGUGGCUCCUGCCCAGAUUUUUUACAUUGCUGAAUUUGUCUAAAACCUUAUGAUUUCCUGAUAGACUUUGAUGUAAUUUAUUGACCAGUUUAACUUUGUUUAGGUAUAGUAGAUGUUGCCUUUAUGAGAAGGAAGCAAGGAAAUCUAUAAGAAACAUAACAAAGCACAAGUUUAUACACAGCAUGAAAAUGUACAGUAAUUGUAAAAUGACGUUUCUUCAUUGCCUGCAAUAGAUAAGUGAGAUUCCUUCACAUCUAUUAUUGCAUAAAUAAUAAAGGAGCAGUUGUAUCGUUUGAGAAAAUGACUAAAGCAGUUUUCAGAGUUUUUUUCUUAUAAAAGUUAGCCCAGCUUAUAACAUAAUAAUCAUUAUGUUAUGGUUCCAGCCUUACCUAAAGCCAAUGCGUAAACUGGAAAGAGAAAGAGUCACAACAUGUCUCACUUAGAAGAUGUUCCAAUUAGGUAAGCAGGCAGGUUUAUAGUUUGGUGACUGCAACACAGAAUACUGGUUUGAAUGAAGCCUAGUUUACCUAUACCAUAGCUCGCAGGUUGAAUGUGUCAUGUGCUGGCCACGGCCAACGUCCAGUUUAGCAAAGGGGAGGGGGAGAAGUCCCGAUACAUGAUGAUGUGAGUUUGACAGCCGUGCCAUAUAUAAUAGUUAUUAGAAGUAAAAUACUUCUCAUAACUCAGCUCAUACUAUGGUAUGCGUUGAAUGCUUUCUUGAAUGUGCCAGUUAAUCUAAACUUAUAUUGUUACAGACUUGAUUCUCAAGUCUCAAUAGCAAUUUGUUAGAAUUAUGUCCAACAUUUUCUUUAGGCCCUCAAGGCAGCACACAUAAUAUUCCAAUUUUUCCAUAAAACAGCUGCUCUUUGAAGUGUGUUGGACUGAGAGAAAUCAUUUAUGUAUCCCAGUAAACCUUGAUUAAGGAUAGAAUCUGGAUCUUUUCUGCAUCAAACCAACAUUUGAGCUUAUACGCUAUAAACCAUUCAAGUAAUAUAUGACAACACUAUGGUUCAAUUUAUGUUUCAUAUUAAUCAAUAAUUAAACUUCUGGAAUUUUGUUCUUUUGGGUUUUUUUUCUUGUUUAUAAAGUAAAAUUGCAAUCACCAUAAAUCAUAAGAAAAUGCAUGUACUGUACAAUAAUUUUGAAGACUGAGAAAUGAUAAGAUCUUAAAAUUUUAGAUGUUCUUUGAACAUAAACUUUAAUUAAAAAUCUUUAAACCUCUCGCAUUUUAGUCAGCCAGGUGUCAGUUAAUUCAAAGACAUGAGUUUCCAUAAGAAAUUAUCUUGUUUUGAAAUCAUACACUAAUAUUUUUUUCUGAUACACUGCUUCCUUAUGCCUUAUUUAUCCAAAAUUCACACUGUAAACUUCCAAAACAUUUCCAGCUAUUUU